CAAGUCUGCUGACACGCACAGCCAAGUUCUGCUCACGCUCGAGUCUGCUGACACGCACAGCCAAGUUCUGCUCACGCCCGAGUCUGCUGACACGCACCGCCAAGUUCUGCUCACGCCCGAGUCUGCUGACACGCACAGCCAAGUUCUGUUCACGCCAGAGUCUGCUGACACGCACAGUCAAGUUCUGUUCCUGCCCCAGUCUGAUGACACACACAGCCAAGUUCUGCUCACGCCAGAGUCUACUGACACGGCAAACCAAGCUCCGCCCAUGCCCAAGGUUCACCUGGUGACCUCAGAGCCUCAGCCUCCCUGUUCAGCUGUGGACGUCGCUCAGCCUCCCUGGUCAGCUGAGGUCGUCGCUCAGCCUUCCUGUUCAGCUGUGGACGUCGUUCACUCUUCCUGUUCAGCUGAGGUCGUCGCUCAGUCUUCCUGUUCAGCCGUGGUCGUCGCUCAGCCUCCCUGUUCAGCUGAGGUCGUCGCUCAGCCUCCCUGUUCAGCUGUGGACAUCGCUCUGCCUUCCUGCUCCAUGGCGAACAUCGUUCCCCCCUCCUGCUUCGAGGAGAGCUACGCUCCUCUCCCUGGCCUCACGGAGACCCACGCUCCUCUCCCUGGCCUCACGGAGACCCACGCUCCUCUCCCUGGCCUCACGGAGACCCACGCUCCUCUCCCUGGCCUUACAGGGGACGUCGCUCUGCCUUCAUGCUCCGCCGAGGACUUCGCUCAGCCCGCCUGCCCUGCUGUGGUCGUCGCUCUGCUUUCAUGCUCCAACGAGGAUGUCGCCCGGCUUCCCUGCUCUGCUGAGUACAGUGCUCUGUUUCCCUGUUCAGCCAAGGACGUCGCUCUGCUUUCGUGCUCCGCCAAGGACUUCACUCAGCCUGUCUGCCCGGCUGUGGUCGUCGCUCUGCCUACCUGUGCAGCUGAGGUCGUCGCUCCGCUUUUCUGCUCCGCCAAGGAAGUCGCUCCACUUUCCUGCUCCGCCAAGGACGUCACUCCGCUUCCCUGCUCCACCGAGGACGUCCUCUGCCGUCCUGUUCAGCCGAGGACGUAGCUCUGCUUUCCUGCAACGCCGAGGAUGUCACUCUGCUUUCCUGUUCAGCCGAGGACAUCUCUCCGCUUUCCUGCACUGCUGAGUACGUCGCUCUGUUUCCCUGCUCUGCCGAGGACGUCACUCUGCCUUCCUGCUCCGCCAAGGACGUCGCUCUGCUUUCCUGUUCUGCUGAGGAUGCCGCACUGCUUUCCUGCACCGCUGAGUAUGGCGCUCUGUUUUCCUGCUCAGCCGAGGAUGUUCCUCUGCUAUCCUGCUCAGCCGAGAACAUCGCUUCGCU
ensembl:lncRNA